AUUGAACGCUGGCGGCAGGCCUAACACAUGCAAGUCGAACGAGUGGUGGACGGGUGAGUAAUGUCUGGGAAACUGCCCGAUGGAGGGGGAUAACUACCGGAAACGGUAGCUAAUACCGCAUACCAUCGGAUGUGCCCAGAGGGGAUUAGCUAGUAGGUGGGGUAACGGCGCACCUAGGCGCCGAUCCCCAGCUGGUCUGAGAGGAUGACCAGCUACGCUGGCACUGAGAAACUGUCCCGACUCCUACGGGAGGCAGGAGUGGGGAAUAUUGUACAAUGGGCGCAAGCCGGAGGCAGCCAUGCCGCGUGUAUGAAGAAGGCCUUCGGGUUGUAAAGUACUUUCAGCGAGGAGGCGUUACUCGCAGAAGAAGCACCGGCUAACUCCGUGCCAGCAGCCGCGGUAAUUC
rnacentral:rRNA from 1 species